GCGGGUUUAAACGUUUUGAUAGGUACCAACCUUCACCCUUGCCCGAAACUAUAGUGUAACAUCACAACAUAGAAAGACACACUAUAAUAUAUCGAUUGAAAUGGCUUAACUCAAUAAAAAAAGACAUAAUUUUUAUGAACACAAGUGGACAUACAUUGAACGAAUAUAUUUGAUCUAUGACACAAUUUAUAAAUAUACAAAAUCA
rnacentral:lncRNA from 1 species